rnacentral:tRNA from 1 species
GUGGGUGUAGCUCAACCUGGUUAGAGCAUCGGACUGUGGAUCCGAAUGUUGGGGGUUCAAAUCCCCUCACUCACC